rnacentral:rRNA from 1 species
AACACGUAUGAGAGUAACUGUUCAUACGUUGACGGUAGUUUAACCAGAAAGUCACGGCUAACUACGUGCCAGCAGCCGCGGUAGGUACGUAGGUGGCAAGCGUUAUCCGGAUUUAUUGGGCGUAAAGAGAGUGCAGGCGGUUUCUUAAGUCUGAUGUGAAAGACCUUCGGCUUAACCGGAGAAGUGCGUCGGAAACUGGAUAACUUGAGUGCAGAAGAGGGUAGUGGAACGUCCAUGUGUAGCGGUGGAAGUGCGUAGAUAUAUGGAAGAACACCGGUGGCGAAGGCGGCUACCUGGUCUGCAACUGACGCUGAGACUCGAAAGCAUGGGUAGCGAACAGGAUUAGAUACCCUGGUAG